UUAAUUUUUUUCUCACAAAAAAAAAAAACAUUAGCAACUGGUUUAGAAAUAAUUCGCUUCAAGAACAGCAUUACGUUGGAAAUUCAUAAAAGCUAACCUCUCAAGUAGCUGGAGACAACUCCCUCUUGUGAAGAGCCACAACCUGGAUAAGAAACACAAAAAGUUGAGCCUUGGAACCUAUCUAAAGACUUUGAACAUUCUUCUCGAUUUUUUAUUCCAGAAGCAGUUUAAAACACUUUCCCGGGGCAGCCUCCGGAAGUUGGGCUUCAGAAUGCAAAGGCCUGAGCUUAAAAUACGGACAACAAAACAAAAAAUUGAAAAUUGAAGCAGCAGCUGUUAA